GUGUCUUGCUCCUUAGCCAUUGGAUCUCCAUUUCAGGAUCUAAUCGUGUGCAUCCGGUUUAAUUACUUCAUUUAAUUCAUGAUGUAGCGUGUUUGACUUGUGUGCACCAUGCUUCCUCAGGUCUCAGCCAUUGCCUUGUGCCACGUCAAUUAAUGAAACGCAUCUGAUGGCUGUGCAUUUUCCGUUUAUUCCAUUUUCU
rnacentral:lncRNA from 1 species